rnacentral:rRNA from 1 species
UACAGAGGCCUCGAGCGUUAGGCGGAAUCACUGGGCUUAAAGCGUGUGUAGGCGGACUUCUAAGUACCUUGUGAAAUCCCACGGCUCACCCGUGGAACUGCUCGGUAUACUGGUCGUCUUGAGCCUUCUAGGGGCGAGUGGAACAAAUGGUGGAGCGGUGAAAUGCGUAGAUAUCAGGAGGAACACCGGUGGCGAAGGCGGGUCUCUGGGCCGAAAUUGACGCUGAGGAGCGAAAGCGUGGGGAGCAAACAGG